UACGUAGGGUGCGAGCGUUGUCCGGAAUUACUGGGCGUAAAGAGCUCGUAGGUGGUUUGUCACGUCGUCUGUGAAAUUCCGGGGCUUAACCUCGGGCGUGCAGGCGUUACGGGCAAUACUUGAGUGCUGUAGGGGAGACUGGAAUUCCUGGUGUAGCGGUGAAAUGCGCAGAUAUCAGGAGGAACACCAAUGGCGAAGGCAGGUCUCUGGGCCACUACUGACGCUGAGAAGCGAAAACAUGGGGAUCAAACAGGAUUAGAUACCCU
rnacentral:rRNA from 1 species